rfam:Blautia sp. YL58, complete genome.
CAGAUGUUAUAUAACUGGCGGAAGUGGAAUGAACCACAGGGAGUAUAACGUUGAUUUAGCCGACCGUCUGGGCAGAAGUU